AACGAACGCUGGCGGCGGGCCUAACACAUGCAAGUCGAGCGCCCCGCAAGGGGAGCGGCGGACGGGUGAGUAACGCGUGGGAACGUGCCCCUUUCUACGGAAUAGCCUCGGGAAACUGGGAGUAAUACCGUAUAAGCCCUACGGGGGAAAGAUUUAUCGGGAAGGGAUCGGCCCGCGUUGGAUUAGGUAGUUGGUGGGGUCAUGGCCUACCAAGCCGACGAUCCAUAGCUGGGUUGAGAGGAUGAGCAGCCACACUGGGACUGGGACACGGCCCAGACUCCUACGGGAGGCAGCGGUGGGGAAUAUUAGACAAUGGGCGCAAGCCUGAUCUAGCCAUGCCGCGUGAGCGAUGAAGGCCUUAGGGUUGUAAAGCUCUUUCAGUGGGGAAGAUAAUGACUGUACCCACAGAAGAAGCCCCGGCUAACUCCGUGCCAGCCGCCGCAGUAACAC
rnacentral:rRNA from 1 species